rnacentral:rRNA from 1 species
UACAGAGGGUGCAAGCGUUAAUCGGAAUUACUGGGCGUAAAGGGUGCGUAGGUUGUUGACUAAGUUAGAUGUGAAAUGUCUGGGCUUAACCUGGAUUAGUCAUUUAAUACUGGUUGACUAGAGUACAGUAGAGGAUAGUGGAAUUUCCAGUGUAGCGGUGAAAUGCGUAGAUAUUGGAAGGAACACCAGUGGCGAAGGCGGCUAUCUGGACUGAUACUGACACUGAGGCACGAAAGCGUGGGGAGCGAACAGG